UACGUAGGGUGCAAGCGUUAAUCGGAAUUACUGGGCGUAAAGCGUGCGCAGGCGGUUUUGUAAGACAGGCGUGAAAUCCCCGGGCUUAACCUGGGAAUGGCGCUUGUGACUGCAGUGCUGGAGUGCGGCAGAGGGGGAUGGAAUUCCGCGUGUAGCAGUGAAAUGCGUAGAUAUGCGGAGGAACACCAAUGGCGAAGGCAAUCCCCUGGGCCUGUACUGACGCUCAUGCACGAAAGCGUGGGGAGCAAACAGG
rnacentral:rRNA from 1 species